rnacentral:tRNA from 2 species
GGACUUGUAGUUCAGAGGUAGAACGCUCGCUUCACAUGCGAGAGCUCGAUGGUUCGAGUCCAUCCAAGUCCA